GCUUACGGCCAUACCACCUUAGGCACGCCCGAUCUCGUCUGAUCUCGGAAGCUAAGCAGGGUCGGGGCUGGUUAGUACUUGGAUGGGUGACCGCCUGGGAAUACCUGGUGCUGUAAGCA
rnacentral:rRNA from 10 species